rnacentral:rRNA from 1 species
CCCUGCCAUUUGUACACACCGCCCGUCGCUAUCUGAGAUGGGCGCGCGCGGCAAGCGCGGGGGCGCGAGCAGCCGCGGCUAGAUUGGAUAAAAGUCGUAACAAGGUUUCCGUAGGUGAACCUGCAGAA